rnacentral:rRNA from 1 species
CACGUGAGUAACCUGCCCCUGACUCUGGAAUAAGCGCUGGAAACGGCGUCUAAUACCGGAUACGAGACGCAACCGCAUGGUUAGUGUCUGGAAAGUUUUUCGGUCUGGGAUGGACUCGCGGCCUAUCAGCUUGUUGGUGAGGUAAUGGCUCACCAAGGCGAUGACGGGUAGCCGGCCUGAGAGGGCGACCGGCCACACUGGGACUGAGACACGGCCCAGACUCCUACGGGAGGCAGCAGUGGGGAAUAUUGCACAAUGGGCGAAAGCCUGAUGCAGCGACGCCGCGUGAGGGAUGACGGC